rnacentral:rRNA from 1 species
AUUGAACGCUGGCGGCAGGCCUAACACAUGCAAGUCGAGCGAGCGGCGGACGGGUGAGUAAUGCCUGGGAAUUGCACAGUCGAGGGGGAUAACAGUUGGAAACGACUGCUAAUACCGCAUACUAUUGGAUUGCGCAGGUGGGAUUAGCUAGUUGGUGGGGUAAUGGCUCACCAAGGCAACGGUCCCUAGCUGGUCUGAGAGGAGGAUCAGCCACACUGGAACUGAGACACGGUCCAGACUCCUACGGGAGGCAGCAUUGGGGAAUAUUGCACAAGGGGGGAAACCCGGAUGAAGACAGGCCGGGGGUGGGAAGAAGUCCUUCGGGUUGUAAAGCACUUUCAGCGAGGAGGCGUUACUCGCAGAAGAAGCACCGGCUAACUCCGUGCCAGCAGCCGCGGUAAUAC